rnacentral:rRNA from 1 species
GACGAACGCUGGCGGCGUGCUUAACACAUGCAAGUCGAACGGAAAGGCCCUGCUUGCAGGGUACUCGAGUGGCGAACGGGUGAGUAACACGUGGGUGAUCUGCCCUGCACUUCGGGAUAAGCCUGGGAAACUGGGUCUAAUACCGGAUAGGAGCCAUUUUUAGUGUGAUGGUUGGAAAGUUUUUUCGGUGUAGGAUGAGCUCGCGGCCUAUCAGCUUGUUGGUGGGGUAAUGGCCUACCAAGGCGGCGACGGGUAGCCGGCCUGAGAGGGUGGACGGCCACAUUGGGACUGGGAUACGGCCCAGACUCCUACGGGAGGCAGCAGUGGGGAAUAUUGCACAAUGGGCGCAAGCCUGAUGCAGCGACGCCGCGUGGGGGAUGACGGCCUUCGGGUUGUAAACUCCUUUCGCUAGGGACGAAGCUUUUUGUGACGGUACCUAGAUAAGAAGCACCGGCCAACUACGUG